rnacentral:rRNA from 1 species
AUUGAACGCUGGCGGCAUGCUUUACACAUGCAAGUCGAACGGUAACAGGCCUUCGGGUGCUGCCGAGUGGCGAACGGGUGAGUAAUGCAUCGGAACGUGCCCAGAGGUGGGGGAUAACGCAGCGAAAGCUGUGCUAAUACCGCAUGUGAUCUGAGGAUGAAAGCGGGGGACCAGGCAGCAAUGUUUGGCCUCGCGCCUUUGGAGCGGCCGAUGUCAGAUUAGGUAGUUGGUGGGGUAAAGGCCUACCAAGCCGACGAUCUGUAGCUGGUCUGAGAGGACGGCCAGCCACACUGGGACUGAGACACGGCACAGACUCCUACGGGAGGCAGCAGUGGGGAAUUUUGGACAAUGGGCGCAAGCCUGAUCCAGCAAUGCCGCGUGCGGGAAGAAGGCCUUCGGGUUGUAAACCGCUUUUGUACGGAACGAAAAGGCUCUGGCUAAUACCUGGGGCUGAUGACGGUACCGUAAGAAUAAGCACCGGCUAACUACGUG